AGAACAUAGAGCAGUUUCUUUUCCAUUGUAGUCAAUUAAUAAUUAUCAAUUACUCGGCAAGCUUUUGCUCUUCCUCUUCCAAAACAGACGAUUACAGGCUUUAAAACUAAUGUUUCUUCAUCUCUUUUCCUACUUUUGUUUUGUGUGUCCUCCAUCUCCAUAAAUUUCGUUUCAUAUUUCUAAUCAUCGAGUUCUCUUAAGAAAAACACCUCUUUCAGCCACCAAAAAAACCUAAUGGCGACGAAUUUUACAAGGCAGAGCAAAUAUCAUCCAAGCGAGGAAGAUCAUGACUAUUGCAAUUCAUUUGAAGAUGUUCAUAAAGCAUAUAUAAAGAAAGUUUGAAAAGUUACGAAUGCAGAUUUCAUUGACCAGCUAAAAAGCGUUUCAUAGUUGUAGUAUCACUGAUUGCUUCAUUUCUUUCUUUAUAUAUUUCUAUUGGCUGUUUAGGGUAUGGAAUUUGCGAGUGUUUCAAAAAAUAAAAUUACACUUGGCUGUUUUAGAUAGUGGUAGGAGCAAUGAGAGUAGUAGAUAUGAUGGUGGUAGUAGGAGCAGGGUGGUGGUGGCUCUUAUGGUAGUGAUAGUCAACAUAGGGGUAAUGGUUCUUAUGGUCAGGGACUCAGGGUGCUCCACCUCCUCUGGCGGCUAUUCCAUCCUACGAUGGUUCUGGCAGUUACCCUCCACCUAUGGGGUAUGGAAUGGAAGCUGUUCCUCCGCCUUCAAGCUAUGCUGGUGGUCCCCCUUCAUAUGGUGGUCCAACAAGGGGUUAUGGCGGUGAUGCACCGAGCACUGGUGGUCGGGGUGGUAGAGGUGGUGGCUAUGAUGGUGGUAGUGCUCCUCGACGCCAGGAACCUAGCUAUGGAGAUGCACCUGCUGAAAAAGUCAAGCAGUGCGACGAGAAUUGCGAUGAAACUCGUGAUAAUACCAGCAUAUAUAUCAAUAAUUUACCUCCAGAUGUGACAACCGAUGAACUCAAGGAUCUCUUGGUGGCAUUGGCCAAGUAAUAACUCUGGUUUGAAAAAUCAAGCAGAAGCAGGGUUACAAAGAUCAGUGGCCCUAUAAUAUAUAGAUUUACACUGACGAGAAGGGAAAGAACAAAGGUGACGCCUGCCUGGCUUAUGAAGAUCCUAGCGCAGCACACUCGGCAGGCGGCUUUUUCAUCAGUAUGUACCGUGGAUGAAGUAGGUGAAGGGUGUAAAGUCUAUGUUUUUUUUGGAAGUGAAUAAGGUUGCAUAAAAAUUCUACUGGUGUGUUAGCCUUCUUGACAGACAGAGUCCAGUGGAGUGAGAAGACUCCCUUGGCGAAGAAGUCGUUAAAUAUUCCUCUGGUGUUAGCUUAUGGACACUAUUCUUACAAGCAAGGUCCAGUUCCAAGAAGUUGAGCUGGAAAGAACAGCCAGGCAGCUCAAAUAGGUGUUUCCAAUCGCUAGCCAACAAACGACAAGAUGUACAAUUGCAAAAAGAAGUGAUCCAAUCACUUACUACUCAGGUAAUUUCAUAGCUAAAAAUAGUAAUAUGGUUUAUGCGAUUACGAGUUAUUUCUUAUGACUGGAUUAUAAACAUCAACGAAAUUAAGCAGCUGGGAGACAUGGCUGAAAGAUUACCAUUUGUUUCCUGCCUUGGUCAUGUAGACCCUUUUAAUAACUUAAACGUCAAGUACUCGAGCAAAAUUGUGCAAAUUCCCGAUGUUUUCUAAUGGGACCGUUACACAUGUAUUUGGAAAUGGCAAACCAUCGAUUGAAGAAUUUUACUGCCA